rnacentral:lncRNA from 1 species
ACAGUUAGAUGAUUAACAUAAUGGCAUCACUACAGUUAGCAAAUAGCAUAAAUUAUAGGUUAAACAAAAAUACAUUCUUUACAUCCAAUCUUCCAAUGAUAAACCUCAAAAGCAGCAAAAUACGAGGACAAAAUAUCCAUUUAGAGAACCUGCCAAACAUAAGCCUAAACAUUGAAGCAAGCAGCCUUCACCCUUUUUUCAAACAGGGUAGAGCUUAGCUUACUGGUCUGUUUUUAGGGACAUAUGGACCCUCCUCCCCCUUGUUACUUACAAAUGCGGCUUGCAAUAAAAAAAUAAGAAAAUUUUAGUAUAUUUCUUUCUAAAAAUUGAAAAGCAGAAGAUGGGACUGGGGAUUGUAAAGGAAAAAGGAAACAAAAGGUUUAGGAUGCCGGACCAUACCUUACCUAAGUCCCACUUUCUUCAUAUACUUUGAUUCAUA